ACCACCUGGGAGGAAGGGGUGAGGGGUCAGGGCUAAAGGGCGGGUUAGGGCCAGGAACAUGGAGUCCUAUCUUCUCAGUGGGGAGGUUGGAAGGAUAAACAGACUCACUGGCCCAUCCCUGCCCCCGGGGCGGGGGCGCCAGCUCUGGGGUCUCCCUAAGUCCUUGCCUUCUGCCCCGGCUGCAAACAAUGCUCACCCACUUCUUGUCUGCCCUGGGACCCUCAUUUGCAAUCUGACUUGGGUGUGCCUAGUCUUCACGUCCCAAUCUUACCCAUGAUUGUAUUCUGGGCUGUGCCAGCCCCUGACCAUGACCCCAGGCCUGUGACUGGACCCAGGAUUCCUGCCAUUAGCUUCACAGGCCCCUGUUCCAUGCACUUAGGUCUGGACUCCGGCAAACAGAGCCUCAAAUGAUCACCGAGCAGCCCACACACAGACUGAGCCCGUCCUGGGAGCCGAGAUGCUCCCUGGGUGCCCCGUGGAGGUGCCCCAGGGGCUCGGGCUCCUGCAGAAGCACAGCCCUGGCCCCAGAGAUCCCCUCAGAGACAUGCCAGCCCAGCAAUCCAGCCCUAACGGUGGCCUUCGGGACUCCUCACCUCAGCAGAGGCAGGCCAGGCAGGGCUUUUCCUGCCCAUUGCACAAGGGGAAACUGAGGCCCAGACAGUAAACCACUUGCCUGAGUUUCGCACUGCAUUUGUGGAAGAGUCGGGGCUCUGCCAGGCUCUCUCCUCCGGCUCUCACGGCAGGGACAAGCACCUCUGCUGGACCUGCUCUGGCUCCUGAGCCCCUCCCAGAUGCCCUCUCUGGGUUGGCCUCACUCAUGCUCUUGGCCCUGAGGUGCCCCCUGUCCCCUGGACUUGAUGACAGCAGGAGAGCUGACUACCAGGAUGGGGCGGGUCCCCACCUUGAGGAUAUAGUGGUCCAGCUCUUCUCUGUCCAGGGGCCUCGCCACGAACACUUCGCCGAUGGAGUCAUUGGUGGUGAUGAUCUCGAAGGCCCCAGCGAUGUUGCCCGAGGCCAGAGAGAAGACCACCUGUGAGGGAGGAGAGAGGCUCGAGGUGAGGAAGCGAGUCCCUGCUUCCUGCUCAGGGAUGGGGUGGCUUGGAGGGUGUAUGGGAACCCCCGGCUGAGAGAGCUGACCCGGGCUAUUUCGCUCCAUGCCCACCUGCCCGUUGCUGCCGGCAUCAGGGUCCGAGGCCUUGACAGUGGCCACACGCUGGCCCACGGGGCAGUCCUCGGGCACGCUGACCGCCGAGUCAGAGGUGACGUCAAACCGAGGGCUGUUGUCGUUCUCAUCCAGCACGGUGAUGUAGACCUGGGGGCGGACGUUACUAGAGACCUAUCGCCUCCAUCAUCUCCCAGCCCCACACACCAGGGGCCCACCGUGGGCCACGGGGGACCAGACCUCCGCUCGGCCUGGCACGUCAGCUGGCUUUCAGAGCCCGCCCAGGCCGCUCCUGACUGCCCACGAAGGCCCUGAGCACCCUUUCCCUAGGAGUCUGGUGCGGGAGGGCGGCUCAUCCCAAGUGCUGAGGCUGGGACGGCAGGGAAGGGGCUGGGAGAUCUGGAAGGGAGGACGGGGCUACUCAGCCCCAAACCACCAGGGAGUGGCAGGCUGGCCCUGGCACCGCUUCCUGUUUUCCAAGAGGAACUCGGCAUGCAGAUUUUGUGUGUGGAAUGCGGUGGGGUAAUUAAUAAAAAGGAAAGGAAAAACGAUGUGCAGGCUGACUACAACACAUCUGGCAGCCAGAGACGGCCUGAAGGCCUCUUCGUCAGCACAUCUGGAUCAGAGGGAGAGAAACGGGGCUCAGAAGGAGGGGGGCUGAAGGUGGCGUGGUGGUCCCUGUGGGAAGGGGUCGAGGGGGGCGGGGG